AAGAGGCAGGAGAGAGAAGGGGUGAAUGAGGCCAGAGAAGCCCAGAGUGAGGACUUGCAUGUGUACCUGGUUGCUGCAAUGCACAUAAAGCUCAAUAAAAGCCUGAGAAAGUCACUGAGGGCUCAAGGACUCUCCUUUACCCAUCCGCUGGAUCAGAAAACCUGCUCAGUGCCCAUCCUGCCCCUACAGUUAUUUUAAAUCUUUGCCAGUAGCAUAUGUGAAGUUCAGUUUCUUCCAUCCUCAACAUUUUUUGUCUGUUUAACAUUUUGCUGCUCUACAGGAAUGGCCCUUUGAUGAGGUCUGGCCGAAAAAUAGGAGCAAAAGUGAAGUAUGCUACUUCAAGGUACAAGUUCUAAGGACCUGGACAUCGUUUGCCUGUUCUCUUUUCCCUCCACAUGAAAAUCAGCAAAGUUCCAGAUAAAGGGCAAAAUCUCUAAAUAACUUAUUGAGGACUGAAAUUACUGGGAAGAUGCAACCAAUAAUUGCAUCUCUGUUUUUAUUUACAUAUGGCAAAUGAGUAUAGAAGAUAAAAACUGACAAAGAAUACCAGCAAGUCAAGGAGUUGGUGAGAUUUUAAGAGAAGAAAAUUCCUUCCCAGU